AUAAAUGUUUUCUUGUUUACAGCUGUUUAGAACUGACAUCUGGUUUCUGCAAAUAUGGUCCAGCAGUUGAGUCUUGUGUUUGCUGCAGUUGUGCUGCUUGGUUACAUGGAACCAAGUCUACAAG